rnacentral:rRNA from 1 species
UUGACUCCAAUCCAGGAAGGAUACCCGGCUGACCUAAGCAUAAUCAUUAGCCGAAGGA